rnacentral:rRNA from 1 species
GAUGAACGCUGGCGGCGUGCCUAAUACAUGCCAGUCGAGCGAACAGACGAGGAGCUUGCUCCUCUGACGUUAGCGGCGGACGGGUGAGUAACACGUGGAUAACCUACCUAUAAGACUGGGAUAACUUCGGGAAACCGGAGCUAAUACCGGAUAAUAUAUUGAACCGCAUGGCUCAAUAGUGAAAGACGGUUUUGCUGUCACUUAUAGAUGGAUCCGCGCCGCAUUAGCUAGUUGGUAAGGUAACGGCUUACCAAGGCGACGAUGCGUAGCCGACCUGAGAGGGUGAUCGGCCACACUGGAACUGAGACACGGUCCAGACUCCUACGGGAGGCAGCAGUAGGGAAUCUUCCGCAAUGGGCGAAAGCCUGACGGAGCAACGCCGCGUGAGUGAUGAAGGUCUUCGGAUCGUAAAACUCUGUUAUUAGGGAAGAACAAAUGUGUAAGUAACUAUGCACGUCUUGACGGUACCUAAUCAGAAAGCCACGGCUAACUACGUG